AACAACCCAGUGAGAAUGCCCUAAACCCCUAAACAGGAAAACAGGAGCAGGCAUCAGGCCCCAUGAAUAGCCAAAGACGCCUUGYUACGCCACACCCACACGGGUACUCAGCAGUGAUUAACAUUAAAACAUGAGUGAAAGCUCGACUUAGUUAUGGUUAAUAUGCCCGGUUAAUUUCGUGCCAGCCACCGSGGUUAUACGAAAGGCCUAAAACAACGACCUUCGGYGUAAAGAGUGGCUAAGAGACAACUGAAAUUUUAAAGGGAAACCUGUUACAAAGCUGUAAAACGCCUUGCACCAAGAACCACAACAAAUGCCUUUAAGCACACCAGACGCUCCAACCCCACGAAAGCUAAGAAACAAACUAGGAUUAGAUACCCUACUAUGCUUCGCCCUAAACACAAAUGGCAAAAACACAAUGCCAUUCGCCAGAGAACUACAAGUGAAAAACUAAAAACUCCAAGGACUUGGCGGUACUCCAUACCGACCUAGAGGAGCCUGUCCUAUAAUCGAUACCCCCCGUUUUACCCUACCACCCCUAGUAAAUCAGCCUAUAUACCGCCGUCGUCAGCUUACCCUGUGAAAGACUAACAGUGAGCAAAAUAGUCAUGAACUAACACGUCAGGUCAAGGUGUAGCAUAUGGGAUGGAAGAGAUGGGCUACAUUUUCUCCCACAGAAAACACGCACAUUACGGUGAAACUCCGCUCUUUAAGGAGGAUUUAGCUGUAAGCCAGACAAGAGAGUCUGCCUUAACCCCGCUCUGGAGUGCGCACACACCGCCCGUCACCCUC
rnacentral:rRNA from 1 species